ACAUACAAAUUUAUUUUGAUUUUGUCAACCGGGACAGGUCAAAAAGUUUUAAACAUUUAUGGCAAUUUAGCUAGCUAGCUUGCAGUUGCUAGCUAAUUUGUCCAUGGAUAUACAUUUUGGGUUGUUAUUUUACCUGAAAUGCACAAGGUCCUCUACUCUGACAAUAAAUUCACACAUAAAAUGGUCAACCGAAUUGUUUCUAGUCAUCUCUCCUCCUCCCAGGCUUUUUCUUCUUUGGACUUUAUAUGGCGAUUGGCAACUAACUUUCAUAAUAAGGUAUAUUACCACAACCGACCUCAGUUCAUCUUUCAAUCACCCACGUGGGUAUAACCAAUGAGGAGAUGGCACAAAUAGAGGUGACAUAGAACAAAUAGAGGUGACGUAGAACAAAUAGAGGUGACGUAGAACAAAUAGAAAUGACGCAGAACAAAUAGAAGUGACGCAGAACAAAUAGAAGUGACGCAGAACAAAUAGAGGUGACGCAGAACAAAUAGAGGUGACGCAGAACAAAUAGAGGUGACGCAGAACACAUAGAGGUGACGCAGAACAAAUAGAGGUGACGCAGAACAAAUAGAGGUGACGCAGAACAAAUAGAGGUGACGCAGAACACAUAGAGGUGACGCAGAACACAUAGAGGUGACGCAGAACACAUAGAGGUGACGCAGAACACAUAGAGGUGACGCAGAACACAUAGAGGUGACGCAGAACACAUAGAGGUGACGCAGAACACAUAGAGGUGACGCAGAACACAUAGAGGUGACGCAGAACACAUAGAGGUGACGCAGAACACAUAGAGGUGACGCAGAACACAUAGAGGUGACGCAGAACACAUAGAGGUGACGCAGAACACAUAGAGGUGACGCAGAACACAUAGAGGUGACGCAGAACACAUAGAGGUGACGCAGAACACAUAGA